UACGUAGGGUGCGAGCGUUAAUCGGAAUUACUGGGCGUAAAGCGUGCGCAGGCGGCGCGUUAAGACAGGUGUGAAAGCCCCGAGCUUAACUUGGGAAUUGCGCUUGUGACUGGCGAGCUGGAGUGUGGCAGAGGGAGGUGGAAUUCCACGUGUAGCAGUGAAAUGCGUAGAGAUGUGGAGGAACACCGAUGGCGAAGGCAGCCUCCUGGGCCAGCACUGACGCUCAUGCACGAAGGCGUGGGGAGCAAACAGG
rnacentral:rRNA from 1 species